ACUUGCCUUUCCGUUUGGCGGCAGCCAUCAGGUGAGCCGAGAUGGGCGCUUACAAGUACAUCCAGGAGCUGUGGAGGAAGAAGCAGUCGGACGUGAUGCGCUUUCUGCUCAGGGUGCGCUGCUGGCAGUACCGCCAGCUCUCGGCGCUGCACCGGGCCCCGCGCCCCACCCGGCCCGACAAGGCGCGCAGGCUGGGCUACAAGGCCAAGAAAGGUUAUGUGAUAUAUCGGGUUCGCGUGCGCCGCGGUGGCCGCAAACGCCCGGUCCCGAAGGGCGCCACCUACGGCAAGCCCGUCCACCAUGGCGUCAACCAGCUCAAGAUUGGCCGGAGCCUUAAGUCUGUUGCCGAGGAGCGAGCGGGGCGCCACUGUGGGGCCCUGAGGAUCCUGAAUUCUUACUGGGUGGGUGAAGAUUCUACGUACAAAUUUUUUGAGGUUAUCCUCAUUGAUCCCUUCCAUAAAGCUAUCAGAAGAAACCCUGACACCCAGUGGAUCACCAAGCCAGUCCACAAGCACAGGGAGAUGCGGGGGCUGACGUCUGCAGGCAGGAAGAGCCGCGGCCUCGGCAAGGGCCACAAGUUCCACCACACGAUCGGUGGUUCUCGCCGCGCAGCCUGGAGAAGGUGCAAUACUCUCCAGGUCCACCGCUACCGCUAAUAUAAGUAAUGUUUGUAAAAUUCUUACCUAAUAAACAGUUUAGGACAUCCA